rnacentral:rRNA from 1 species
AUUGAACGCUGGCGGCAUGCUUUACACAUGCAAGUCGAACGGCAGCGCGGGCUUCGGCCUGGCGGCGAGUGGCGAACGGGUGAGUAAUGCAUCGGAACGUGCCCAGUAGUGGGGGAUAGCCCGGCGAAAGCCGGAUUAAUACCGCAUACGACCUGAGGGUGAAAGCGGGGGACCGAAAGGCCUCGCGCUAUUGGAGCGGCCGAUGUCGGAUUAGCUAGUUGGUGGGGUAAAGGCUUACCAAGGCGACGAUCAGUAGCUGGUCUGAGAGGACGACCAGCCACACUGGGACUGAGACACGGCCCAGACUCCUACGGGAGGCAGCAGUGGGGAAUUUUGGACAAUGGGGGCAACCCUGAUCCAGCCAUGCCGCGUGCGGGAAGAAGGCCUUCGGGUUGUAAACCGCUUUUGUUCGGGAAGAAAUCCUCUGGGCUAAUACCCCGGGGGGAUGACGGUACCGGAAGAAUAAGCACCGGCUAACUACGUG